GGGGAAUAUUGCACAAUGGGCGCAAGCCUGAUGCAGCGACGCCGCGUGAGGGAUGGAGGCCUUCGGGUUGUAAACCUCUUUUAUCGGGGAGCAAGCGAGAGUGAGUUUACCCGUUGAAUAAGCACCGGCUAACUACGUGCCAGCAGCCGCGGUAAUACGUAGGGUGCAAGCGUUAUCCGGAAUUAUUGGGCGUAAAGGGCUCGUAGGCGGUUCGUCGCGUCCGGUGUGAAAGUCCAUCGCUUAACGGUGGAUCCGCGCCGGGUACGGGCGGGCUUGAGUGCGGUAGGGGAGACUGGAAUUCCCGGUGUAACGGUGGAAUGUGUAGAUAUCGGGAAGAACACCAAUGGCGAAGGCAGGUCUCUGGGCCGUUACUGACGCUGAGGAGCGAAAGCGUGGGGAGCGAACAGGAUUAGAUACCCUGGUAGUCCACGCCGUAAACGGUGGAUGCUGGAUGUGGGGCCCGUUCCACGGGUUCCGUGUCGGAGCUAACGCGUUAAGCAUCCCGCCUGGGGAGUACGGCCGCAAGGCUAAAACUCAAAGAAAUUGACGGGGGCCCGCACAAGCGGCGGAGCAUGCGGAUUAAUUCGAUGCAACGCGAAGAACCUUACCUGGGCUUGACAUGUUCCCGACGGUCGUAGAGAUACGGCUUCCCUUCGGGGCGGGUUCACAGGUGGUGCAUGGUCGUCGUCAGCUCGUGUCGUGAGAUGUUGGGUUAAGUCCCGCAACGAGCGCAACCCUCGCCCCGUGUUGCCAGCGGAUUAUGCCGGGAACUCACGGGGGACCGCCGGGGUUAACUCGGAGGAAGGUGGGGAUGACGUCAGAUCAUCAUGCCCCUUACGUCCAGGGCUUCACGCAUGCUACAAUGGCCGGUACAACGGGAUGCGACGCGGCGACGCGGAGCGGAUCCCUGAAAACCGGUCUCAGUUCGGAUCGCAGUCUGCAACUCGACUGCGUGAAGGCGGAGUCGCUAGUAAUCGCGAAUCAGCAACGUCGCGGUGAAUGCGUUCCCGGGCCUUGUACACAC
rnacentral:rRNA from 1 species